rnacentral:rRNA from 1 species
UACGUAGGGGGCAAGCGUUUGUCCGGAAUUAUUGGGCGUAAAGCGCGCGCAGGCGGCUAUUUAAGUCUGGUGUUUAAACCUUGGGCUCAACCUGGGGUCGCACUGGAAACUGGGUGGCUUGAGUACAGAAGAGGAAAGUGGAAUUCCACGUGUAGCGGUGAAAUGCGUAGAGAUGUGGAGGAACACCAGUGGCGAAGGCGACUUUCUGGGCUGUAACUGACGCUGAGGCGCGAAAGCGUGGGGAGCAAACAGGG